AUUUUUAAAGCUAUAUAGUUACAGCUGUGAUUGUAUAGAUCCUUAAAUUGCUUUACAGUUACCACUCUGCAUGACUUCAGAUUUUUAAAAAUUAUGUCCUAGCAGUGCUAGUUUUCUCAGUAUAGCUUAAAAUCAUAACCACUUUGAGAAUUUACUUCCAGAUAUGAUAAAUGACUCACUUUUUCUUUAAUGUACUUUGUGUUGGCUUUCUCAUCCCCAUUAGGUUCAACACAUUAGUGAUACCCCACAUUAUUGAAUCUGUUUAACAGACUUCAUAGUUAAUCAUUCAAAUAUGUCUAGGAUGGUUUACAUAUGCUGUCAAUUGGGGAAAACUUUUCUAAAAUAGAAUAAGGAAGGUGUGUUUUUGAGAGCUUUGUUGAAACUUAAUAGGUAAAGUGAAAAUAAAAACACAGAAGAACAUUAUGAAAUAUAUCUCAGCCGUUUGGAAAGCAGAUUUAGAACUUUGUGUAAAAAUUCUAGGUCAAAAAACGUUGAACUUAAAAAAUUCUAGGUCAGGUAAAAAACAGUUCUCAAGUGGACUAGAUUCUUAUAAUCAUUUCUUUUGUUUUACAAGCACUCCUAUAUAUUUUUAAUUUAGUGAGGCUUACCAGUAUUUUAAGACUGCCUGUUUAUAGCAAUACUAGACCAUACUUCCAUCUCUCAAAGAAAAAAUGUUUUAUUAUUUUUUACACAACUAUUUCUAUGAAUAGAUGUUGAGACAAAUACACUUGAACAGAACAAAGAACUUCAAAUACUGUGAAGAAGAUAUUUGUCUAAUGACUAUGACAUCCAGAGCUGUAUUGGGUUUUUAUUAUUGGUCCAGGACAGUUUAAAAUAGCAAGUUAGUUAACCUGUUUUUCUUUCCUCAUGUAAAAGGGAGUGAAUAGUAGUGUUUAACUCACAUAGUUUUUUAUUAAGAUUUAAAAAGCAGUGUUAUAAAGUACUGUCCCUAGCCCAUGGUAACUGCUAGGUGGGUGUUACAUAAAUAAAAUACACUUCUGGUAUAUAUCAUUCAAAGAUGGGCAAAAACCUGUACUUUCUCAUAUAUAUUUUUUUUGCGUUUUAUUGGGACAAGCACUGCAGGUUAAGAAUCUAUAUGCUCAUAAUUGUGUCCUUGCUUUGUUGACAAAAGUCAGUAGGAGUGCUCAGGUGUAUAUAGCUAGUAAACACAAGAUUGUAUAUAAGUAUUCCUGUCAUCAUUUUAGCUCCUAUCAGGUGUUAGGCAUUGAGUUACUCUCUGCCCUCAGGGAGUUUACAGUUUUGCAAGGAAUGUAAGACUGUAAAUGUGCAAAGAACUGUGGAAGACAAGCACAGAUUAAAUGAGAUUAUAAAAUAAAGAACUUGAGCCUAGUCCUCUGUGGUUCAGUUUAAUAUUUAAUGUUAAUAUAAAUAAGGAAAAUCAAUAAAGAAAUGAAAAGAAACAGUGGUAGAGACAGAACUUAGAAUGGGCCUUGAUGGCAAGGUAGAUUUUGGAUGGUUUCAAAGGAUAUUGCAGGAUAUUUCAGGUAAAGACAAUGUGAGCAAGGCAUAUCUGAAAUAUGAGGAAACUGGGAGUACAUUUUGGUAUGUGUGUGAAACAAGAUUACCAGUGAGGAAUUGAGGCCCAUUCAUGAAAUUCCUUUAAAGCCAAGCAGAGUAGUUUAGGUUUGAGAUGGCAGGAGUUUGGAGUGAGGAUUUUUAGGAGUAAAUUAUGAAACUAAGGAAGAUAAACUUGCAGUUAUAAGAUGGAGUGGAGGGACUAUAAGAUAGAAAGCUGUUGCAAUUUUCCUGCUAUGAAGGAUUGAUUAGCUGCAGGUGGUCACAUUUGGCGAGGAUGCUUAGAUUCUGGAAAUUAAGGGCACAGAAAAAUAAAGAUAACAGCACAUUGUGUCUGGAUGAUGAGUGCAUUGGUGUUAGCACUGUCAAAAACAGGUUAAUUGUGGAAAUGAAUCUGAUACAAUUAAAGUAGUGUCAUGACUAUGUUGGAAACUUAUUGCUAUGAUGUAUCUGUAUACUGUAGACCAAACAACUGUUUAAGGACCUUUUAAAAAUCUGAACCACUAUGACAGAUGACAUUUGCUAUGAUGCAGGAUAGUGUGUGGUCCACUGUGCAGUGAAGGAGCAGUGAGGGGUGGUGCCCUGGCCGCCCAAUCAUUGCUUACCAGGACAGGGUGGUGUGAUUUAUAAUGAAACUGCUGGUGAAGUUUCUACAGAUUUUGUGGUAAGCAUCAUUGUGAUGCACAGUUGAGUUUUGCUUCAUCAAAUAAAGCAUUUAAUUUCAA